GAUCAGCUCAGGAUGAACGCUGGCGGCGUGCUUAACACAUGCAAGUCGAACGAAGCACCUUGAUUUGAUUCUUCGGAUGAAGAUCUUGGUGACUGAGUGGCGGACGGGUGAGUAACGCGUGGGUAACCUGCCUCAUACAGGGGGAUAACAGUUAGAAAUGACUGCUAAUACCGCAUAAGACCACAGCACCGCAUGGUGCAGGGGUAAAAACUCUGGUGGUAUGAGAUGGACCCG
rnacentral:rRNA from 1 species